rnacentral:lncRNA from 1 species
GUGCACACCUCCAAAUGGGAGGGGGUCCCCAAAGCCGUGCCCUGGCGACCCCUGCAAAGUCCACAAGUAACUCCGCACGCUGGGCGGCAUCGGGGCGCGCGCCUCCCGUACCCCAUAGACUCUCCCCUCCGAAGGCAAUCAGGCCGAAACUCACGUUCGCCCCUUCCCUUCCGAGCGUCGCGUCCGGGCCGGGGCCCGGCGGCGCCCAGCCCGCGCCCUUCGCCGACCCGGAGCCCCCUGACCGUCAACACGAAGGCGGUCCGGGAGACAAAGCCCGGGACUCGCGGUCGGAGCGCCCGGGGCAGCGGAGAGCCUGCAACUCGCCGCCCGUCCGCUGCCGCGCUCCGCCGGGCAGCUGAGGGCUCCGCACGCCGCGUCUCUGGUCCGCGCUGCCCCGGCCGCAGCCGCCGGGAACAUCCUCCGCCUCCUCCCGCUCCUCCCCUCGCGCACUGCGCCCGCCGCCGCCGGCACCGCCGACCUCCCCGCGCCGCUGGCGCCGGGUGCCCGCGCUCCCAAUUGGCCCUCGUGCGGUCGCUCCGCGCCACAGCCAAUCGCCUGCGGCGGCGGGGGCGGCGCCUGCCCGACAGGCCGCCAAAGGCCAGGCGAUUGUUGACAAACUCGCCUCCGAAAGCGGCUCCGGCCGUCGCUGCGGCGGUAGCCGCGGCGAAGGUUUCCGCGGCCUCGGGGCCGGAGGCUGCCCAGGCUACCCCGCCCCGCCCCUCCGCCAGUCCGGUCGCCGCGCGCGCCUCCGCAGCUCCCGCCGCGCCCAGCAGCCAGUCACCUAGAGACAAAACAGGACCCUCACGGCCGGCCCCAGACUCCAGUCCCAGCAGCCGACCCCCGCCCAGGCCCGCUAGGGUGCGGACCCCAAAGGUCACCCCCUCCCCAGCUGUAGCCCCCAUCCUCCUCCAACUUCCUCUCUCUUUCUCCCCGUGCACCACGGGACACGCACCAAAUCUGAGCGGCUACCACUGGCCACCGACGCGCAUUUCCGCGCGCACCCGUGACCACCGCAGACAAGGAACACAUCCAUAG